UACGGAGGGUGCAAGCGUUAAUCGGAAUUACUGGGCGUAAAGCGCGCGUAGGUGGCUGAUUAAGUCGGACGUGAAAGCCCUGGGCUCAACCUGGGAAUUGCGUUCGAUACUGAUUGGCUAGAGUACGAGAGAGGAAGGUAGAAUUCCACGUGUAGCGGUGAAAUGCGUAGAUAUGUGGAGGAAUACCAGUGGCGAAGGCGGCCUUCUGGCUCGAUACUGACACUGAGGUGCGAAAGCGUGGGGAGCAAACAGG
rnacentral:misc_RNA from 1 species